UUUUUCUUUUUCAUUUUCACGUUCCAGUAGCACUUAAUAUAGAGAAAUUCUCCCCAAAUCCAUCAAAUACUCUUUAGGUCUUAGUAAUUUCUUCUUGCAAGCUUCAGGAAAGUUGCUCUACAUUGCGAGCUCGUCAUUUUGGUAUAGUUUUCGUUGUGGAUUGUGUGGCGCAUCUCUAUGGUGGUUGUAGAAGCAAGGGUUUUACUUUGUUUGGAGGUUUUGAGUUUUUUGUUUAGCUUAAGUUCAAGGUAAGAACCCUUGGUAAGCCGCAAAUAGUGAGUUGCGACAAAAAUCUGUAUCUUUUAUUGGAUUAUCAUAAUACUUUCCAUUCUUGUGUGUUGAUUGUGGUGCUGCCUUAUUGUAGUAUCGAGGGGGGUUUCGAGUAGAAGUCGGUAGGCCACUGGAAUUCAUUGAAAAAGGUAUGUUAAGGUUAUUCCCUUCAUUUGGUAUGUUUCCUUAAAGCUUAGGAGCGAUAUAAUAGGGUUGUUAUUAUUGGUGAUCUACCAUAUAUAUAAUUGUGAGCGGUUAGCUGAUUGAGUGGUUAUAAACCCUCAUUUUCGAAACUCACAAUCUGUUAAUAACGGCCCUACGUUAGAAACAACUUAGAGACUAUUCAUAUAGAUUGUUUAUAGUUAAAUUGCUCGCCUUUAGCCUAUUGAAUUAUUUGUUAUUGCCCUUGGGGCUAUUGUAGGUAGCUGUUGAGCUAUGAAUUGCCUACGGAGGCUAUAAUGUUAGCUAAGAGGACUAUGUUAUUGCCUAAGAGGGCUAUGUGUUGCCUACGGGGCUAUAGUGAUGCCAAAGAGGGUCAUGUGUUGCCUACGGGGUUAUAUUGAUGCUAAAGAGGGUUGUGUGUUGUCUACGUAUGCGACUUCCUACAUGGACAAGGGGCUACCGAUAAUGGUAUAUAUAAUGAUUUGGAACCUUCUGGGCUUAUGGGGGCAUAGGUAGGUGGUCUUGUUUGUUGUUUGUACCUACUGAGCUUAUGAGGGCUUGACUGAGUUGUUGUUUAAUUAUUUUUGUAUGUUUAAAUUCAGUAGCACGUUAGUAUGCUUACCUUAUUCUUGAUUUCCUUACA
rnacentral:lncRNA from 1 species